rnacentral:lncRNA from 1 species
AAGCAAAACAAAGACCAUAUAUGUGCAAAUCUGGUUACUUGCUCGCUCUCUCCCUCUCUGUGUAUUAUAUAAGCAACUCCCUAGAUCGCGAGCCGCAUCUCUUUUCUUCUCCCCGUCGAAUUAAGAGAAAGCUAGUGUGCAAUGAGCCGAAUGGGCAGCAGCAACGGCGGCAGCAAGGUGGCGAGCUGGCUGUGGCGCGCGCCGCGGCGGGCACUNACGCUGUCUCCGCCGGCCGGGCCAGUGGGCAGAGAGGGAGGGCGGCGCCUAUACCCAUGGCUUGAUCGAUUGUUGCACUGGGACUGGGAAGCUUCAACCUCGAGUCCAGCCUUCCUCUGCUUUUCACCUUCGAGUCUCCAUAAAUCUGCAGUGGUGCUGUAAAUAGACUAGAUCUCUUGUUCUGUUAAUCCUUCUCCCGUCAUUCUGUUUUGUCUGAAAAUUAUUCCGGCGCAUUCGCUUGUAAUCUCUUCCGCAUAGCAGUCGCAUGAUAUGCGAUGUCCCUUUUCUUUUCUUUUUAUUCGGAGAAACAAAGAGUUUAUCCUCUGCUAGAUAAACGGCCGUGCCUUCCAACCUGAGAAAAAAAUAUUCAUAAAUUUUAAUUGUCAUGACCAUAUUUUUUGGGGCUGCUACC